UUUAGGGUUUAGUGUUUGCUGACGACAUUAAAAAAAAAAUUUAAAAUUAUUUUUUCUGUAGUUGCUGCUAUUUUUUUUUUACCUUUUUAUUUUAAAAACACAUUAUAAGUUGACAAUAUUUUGUUUUCUUUUUUAAAAGAUAUCGAAUAUAAAAUAACAAAAUUUUAUUAGUUGGUUGAUAUGAUCAUGGGAAGCAGUAAAGAUGUACGUUCAUUGUUUGACUCACAUCUUCGAAACCACGAGGCUUCUACGCAUGAAAUUACUUGGAAAAUGUGCUCAACUCAAUUAUGGAGCUCCUCGAAGAAGAAUCAGAUCAAACAGACUUCAGAUGAAGGAGUUACGCAAUUUACAAAAUAGGUGAUCUUCAGUUUAUGCGAAUUUGGACCUAUGUGCAUUCAAUGAACAAUUCCGACCAGCCCAGAUGGAAUUAAGCCACAAGCCCAAUUGUUCUACAAUCAUGGUACAUCAGAGAAGCCCAUAAAAGUGGAUUCAGCCCAAAAAUAUCAAAGGAAGACUGAUUUUCGUCCAGAUUCAAAAUAGCAUUUAUUUAAAUGUGUUUAUCUCUCUUGCAUGCAGAAUAGAGUUUGAAUUUCAACUCUCAAGUGGUGCUUCAUGUUAGGAUACUUUUAUGGACGAAAAUUACUUGUAUUUCUCUAUAAAAAGAGCCCAAAAAUCAUGAAUAAGAAUAAGUUUGUUUUUCAGUGAAAACUAGAGAAGUUUCUCUCUUUCAAGAUGUGAUGUCUUGUAAUUUUUGGAACUCCAUGUUCAUGGUGUGUCAUAUCUAUGUUCAUGGCUGGUCUAGACGUAUCAUAGAUCCUUUCACAGAUCUUUGUGGCGUCUCUCAAUCUAUCUCUCUAUCCAUUCCUUGUUGGUGUGUCAUAUCCAGCAAGCUGUCAAUUUAUUUGGUGUGUAAUAUCUAGAGAAUCGAUCCACUGGUGAAUCAAAGGAAUUUCCGCAACCUUUGUUGUGCUAUUCAAUCCACAUCCUUUGAUCUUUGAGAUUUCACAGUCUCUAGGAUGCAAAGCUUAUCCCCUCACCACCUUAGAGUGCAUCAUCCUUGGGAGGUUUACAUUAUUUGGUAUCAAAGCAACACUCUAAGUCUGGUUUUAUCAUUCCAUAUGUCUAUCAUUUUCUCACCUAUUCAUCUUCUUUCAAUCAUCUUCUCAUCUUUCAUUCUCUAUUUCUUUUUUUUUUCUUUCUUUCUAUUUUUAUAAUUAUUUCGUCAGAGAGAAAGUGCUACUAGAUACUCUUCUUUUAUACGAACCAGAUUUGUGAGCAAAUCUUUUUUUUAAGAGGAAGGGAAUGAUAUGAUCAUGGGAAACAGUAAAGAUGUACGUUCAUUGUUUGAGUCAUAUCUUCGAAACAACGAGGCUUCUACGCAUGAAAUCACUUGGAAAAUGUGCUCAACUCAAUUACGGAGCUCCUCGAAGAAAAAUCAGAUCAAACGGACUUCAGAUGAAGGAGUUACGCAAUUUACAAAACAGGUGAUCUUCAGUUUAUGCGAAUUUGGACCUAUGUGCAUUCAAUGAACAAUUCCGACCAGCCCAGAUGGAAUUAAGCCACAAGCCCAAUUUUUCUACAAUCUUGGUACAUCAGAGAAGUCCAUAAAAGUGGAUUCAGCCCAAAAAUAUCAAAAGAAGACUGAUUUUCGUCCAGAUUUAAAAUAGUAUUUAUUUAAGUGUGUUUCUCUCUUUUGCAUGCAGAAUAGAGUUUGAAUUUCAACUCUCAAGUGGUGCUGCAUGUUAGGAUACUUUUAUGGACGAAAAUUACUUGUAUUUCUCUAUAAAAAGAGCCCAAAAAUCAUGAAUAAGAAUAAGUUUGUUUUUCAGUGAAAAUUAGAGAAGUUUCUCUCUUUCAAGAUGUGAUGUCUUGUAAUGUUUGGAACUCCAUGUUCAUGGUGUGUCAUAUCUAUGUUCAUGGCUGGUCUAGACUUAUCAUAGAUCCUUUCACAGAUCUUUGUGGCGUCUCUCAAUCUAUCUCUCUAUCCAUUCCUUGUUGGUGUGUCAUAUCCAGCAAGCUGUCAAUUUAUUUGGUGUGUAAUAUCUAGAGAAUCGAUCCACUGGUGAAUCAAAGGAAUUUCCGCAACCUUUGUUGUGCUAUUCAAUCCACAUCCUUUGAUCUUUGAGAUUUCACAGUCUCUAGGAUGCAAAGCUUAUCCCCUCACCACCUUAGAGUGCAUCAUCCUUGGGAGGUUUACAUUAUUUGAGAGAAAGUGCUACUAGAUACUCUUCUUUUAUACGAACCAGAUUUGUGAGCAAAUCUUUUUUUUAAGAGGAAGGGAAUGAUAUGAUCAUGGGAAACAGUAAAGAUGUACGUUCAUUGUUUGACUCAUAUCUUCGAAACCACGAGGCUUCUACGCAUGAAAUCACUUGAAAAAUGUGCUCAACUCAAUUACGGAGCUCCUCGAAGAAAAAUCAGAUCAAACGGACUUCAGAUGAAGGAGUUACGCAAUUUACAAAACAGGUGAUCUUCAGUUUAUGCGAAUUUGGACCUAUGUGCAUUCAAUGAACAAUUCCGACCAGCCCAGAUGGAAUUAAGCCACAAGCCCAAUUGUUCUACAAUCUUGGUACAUCAGAGAAGCCCAUAAAAGUGGAUUCAGCCCAAAAAUAUCAAAAGAAGACUGAUUUUCGUCCAGAUUUAAAAUAGCAUUUAUUUAAGUGUGUUUCUCUCUCUUGCAUGCAGAAUAGAGUUUGAAUUUCAACUCUCAAGUGGUGCUGCAUGUUAGGAUACUUUUAUGGACGAAAAUUACUUGUAUUUCUCUAUAAAAAGAGCCCAAAAAUCAUGAAUAAGAAUAAGUUUGUUUUUCAGUGAAAAUUAGAGAAGUUUCUCUCUUUCAAGAUGUGAUGUCUUGUAAUUUUUGGAACUCCAUGUUCAUGGUGUGCAUGGCCGGCCUUGAGGGGAAGCCAUCCAAGCCAAGGAUUAGGGCAUCCAAAUUAGUGGGGCAUAUGUUUAAAAAAAAAAAAUUAUUAGUAUGUAGUAUAUACAUAAAAAAAAAAUCUGUAGAUUAUUCUGUUAAAAUAUUAUCUAUUGUGCAUAUUUAGUUAUUAUAAGAUUUGUCAAACUUUUUAAAUAUAUUAGUAAAAUUAUAUUUUAGGUUGAAUGAGUUGGCUAUAUUAUCAAUUGAGACUGUUAUGGUCGAAAAACUUGACUAUAAGAGUUUAAUGGAUGAUUUUGCAGAAAAAAAUGCAAGAAGAUCUAUAUUUCAACAAUAAGUGUUUUUAUAUCAAUGUUUUUUAUAAACAUAUUAUGAAAUCUGGUUUUUUUAAUGAAAAUUUAAGUUACUUUUAAUACUGUUUUGUGAUCUUGAUAAAACAUGUACGAGGGCAUAGUUUUAAAUUUUGAUUGGGGCAAUAUAAAAGGUUGGUCCGGCACUGAUGGUGUGUCAUAUCUAUGUUAAUGGCUGGUCUAGACUUAUCAUAGAUCCUUUCACAGAUCUUUGUGGUGUCUCUCAAUCCAUCUCUCUAUCCAUUCCUUGUUGGUGUGUCAUAUCCAGCAAGCUGUCGAUUUCUUUGGUGUGUAAUAUCUAGAGAAUCGAUCCACUGGUGAAUCAAAGGAAUUUCCGCAACCUUUGUGUUCUAUUCAAUCCACAUCCUUUGAUCUUUGAGAUUUCACAGUCUCUAGGAUGCAAAGCUUAUCCCCUCACCACCUUAGAAUGCAUCAUCCUUGGGAGGUUUACAUUAUUGGUGAACCUCUAGGUUCACCUUAGGGGUAAAUUCAAGAAUAAGUCUUAAGAAAUCAUCUAAAAAAUCUAUGUUACCCUUUGUUCACAUAUUAAAUAAAUUUCUCUUUAUAAUUAAUGCAUUAAAAUAAUAGGGAUAAAACUGAACUUUCAUUUAAAAUUUUGCAUUGAAAAUACAAAACAACAUUCUUUAUGUAACAAAAAUAAAAUCUUAAAACGACACUCUUUGCGAAAUGGAGGAGUAUGAUGUUUUCAAUAAGAUUAAAUAAAAAAGGAAUAGAUAUUUAAUAAUUUAAACCAAAUCAUUUAUUAGUUUUUCCAAUUCAACCAAAUUUUCCUAUGGGCAGUAUAUAUAUAUUUCUUCUAUUUUAUGUCAAACACAUAUCAAAGAAAACCGAAAUCCUAAGAAUGCCUAUGGUCACAGCUUUUACUCCUCUCACAAAAUUUCUUCCUUUCAAAAACAAUUGGAGAGUUCAAAUGAAAGGUUUACAUUCAUGGAAGCAAAACACAUCUCUUGGAGGUGAUACUUUUUCAGAAAUAUUUAUAGUAUAAAUUAAUAAAGCACUACAAUUAUACUUAAUACUCUAAUAUUUUACACUUUAGAGUAUUGAUUUACCAAGUCAAAGCAAUAAAAAUACUAUAAAAGAAUAAUACAAUUGCAUAGUUUAUAAAUAGACACUAAACAAACUAAAUAAGAUACACCAAUGUUAAAACUCAAUAACCUAUGAAUCGGUAACAUGAAUGUUUAUACAAGUGAAAAUAUAUACUUACAAAAAACAAACACUUGUGCGGGCGCGCAGGUCAAAAGCUAGUUGUUCUUAUUUCUUUGGAUCUCCUAGUUAGAAUCAUGAGAUUGUACAAAAAAAAAAUUGUUGUUAUAAAGUUAACAUUUCAGCAAAAAAAAAAAGCAAAAAAAAAAAUAGUAAAUUAAUCGGUCAUCUAGAGAUAAACAUAACAACAUAUAUAUACAAGUAUGUAAGUUCUCUUGACGAAUGACGAUACUCGCAGUGACAAGAGCAAGACGUAUCGUCCAAUAGGCACGAACUCCUAAAGUAUAAAACGAAUAAUAUGUGCUGAGUAGAUAAAUACGUAAAAAUAUUAAUGAAUAAACAAAAAACAAAAACAUUGACUAACCAAACAAAAUCUAGACGUAUUUAGAUUUUAGAGUUGAUAUGGAUGUUAUGAAUUAUACUUUUUAACCAAGAAAAAAAUUUAGGUGGCGGCUUAUGAAUGCAUGAACAGAGACGAAUACAUAAUGUGAAAAUAAAAAAUUUUAAAAAAAAAAUUCAAGCAAAAAUUUCAAGGAAAAAAAUUUCGUUGACAAAAAAAAA